rnacentral:tRNA from 1 species
GCCCGCCUAGCUCAAUCGGAUAGAGCGUCAGACUUUUACGAUUAGGCGGUACAAGUCAUUGCAAAAUCAGGCAUCUGAAGGCUGCGAGUUCGACCCUCGCGGUGGGCU